CCUACGGGUGGCAGCAGUGAGGAAUAUUGGUCAAUGGACGAGAGUCUGAACCAGCAAAGUAGCGUGAAGGAUGACUGCCCUAUGGGUUGUAAACUUCUUUUAUAUGGGAAUAAAACGUUCCACGUGUGGGAUUUUGUAUGUACCAUAUGAUUAAGGAUCGGCUAACUCCGUGCCAGCAGCCGCGGUAAGACGGAGGAUCCGAGCGUUAUCCGGAUUUAUUGGGUUUAAAGGGAGCGUAGGUGGAUUGUUAAGUCAGUUGUGAAAGUUUGCGGCUCAACCGUAAAAUUGCAGUUGAAACUGGCAGUCUUGAGUACAGUAGAGGUGGGCGGAAUGCGUGGUGUAGCGGUGAAAUGCUUAGAUAUCACGAAGAACUCCGAUUGCGAAGGCAGUUCACUGGACUGCAACUGACACUGAGGCUCGAAAGUGUGGGUAUCAAACAGGAUUAGAUACCCUAGUAGUC
rnacentral:rRNA from 1 species